rnacentral:rRNA from 1 species
CCUGAUCCCAUCUCGAACUCAGAAGUGAAACGCAAUCGCGCCGAUGGUAGUGUGGGGUCUCCCCAUGUGAGAGUAGGUCAUUUCCAGGC